AUUAGGAUUUUUAAGGACAUAUUUUUGUGCAAUAAAAAAUUUUUAAAAUCUGGACGUGCGCUAAUGAGUGGAGAUUUCUUUCUUGCAGCAUGAACUUUAUCUCAACACCCUUCCAACCUUUGAUUUGGUUUUGAAUGGCUUAGAUCAAAGGGGAUUUGAUCUUUUAGGGCGUUAAGAGGUGGGUGUGCAUGAGAUAUGAUAAGUUGGUGCGA
rnacentral:lncRNA from 1 species